CGUGCUUAACACAUGCAAGUCGAACGAUGAUGCCCACUUGUGGGUGGAUUAGUGGCGAACGGGUGAGUAACACGUGAGUAACCUGCCCUUGACUCUGGGAUAAGCCUGGGAAACUGGGUCUAAUACCGGAUAUGACCUUCCAUCGCAUGGUGGUUGGUGGAAAGCUUUUGUGGUUUUGGAUGGACUCGCGGCCUAUCAGCUUGUUGGUGGGGUAAUGGCCUACCAAGGCGACGACGGGUAGCCGGCCUGAGAGGGUGACCGGCCACACUGGGACUGAGACACGGCCCAGACUCCUACGGGAGGCAGCAGUGGGGAAUAUUGCACAAUGGGCGGAAGCCUGAUGCAGCGACGCCGCGUGAGGGAUGACGGCCUUCGGGUUGUAAACCUCUUUCAGUAGGGAAGAAGCGUAAGUGACGGUACCUGCAGAAGAAGCGCCGGCUAACUACGUGCCAGCAGCCGCGGUAAUACGUAGGGCGCAAGCGUUAUCCGGAAUUAUUGGGCGUAAAGAGCUCGUAGGCGGUUUGUCGCGUCUGCCGUGAAAGUCCGGGGCUCAACUCCGGAUCUGCGGUGGGUACGGGCAGACUAGAGUGAUGUAGGGGAGAC
rnacentral:rRNA from 1 species